rnacentral:rRNA from 1 species
UGACGCAGACCCGAAACCAAGUGACCUACCCAUGACCAGGUUGAAGGCGCGGUAAAACGCGCUGGAGGACCGAACCCACGUAAGUUGAAAAUUGCGGGGAUGAGUUGUGGGUAGCGGUGAAAUUCCAAACGAACUUGGAGAUAGCUGGUUCUCUCCGAAAUAGCUUUAGGGCUAGCCUCGCAAAGAGGAUGCUGGAGGUAGAGCUCUGUUUGGACUAGGGGCCCGUCAAGGGUUACUGAAUUCAGAUAAACUGCGAAUUCCAGACAUUUAUGUGCGGGAGUCAGACUGCGAGUGAUAAGAUCCGUAGUCGAAAGGGAAACAGCCCAGAUCACCAGUUAAGGUCCCAAAAUUCAUGCUAAGUGGAAAAGGAUGUGGAGUUGCGCAGACAACUAGGACGUUGGCUCAGAAGCAGCCAUCAUUCAAAGAGUGCGUAAUAGCUCACUAGUCGAGUGACGCCGCGCCGAAAAUUUACCGGGGCUAAGCAUGAUACCGAAACUGUGGAUGUGCGUUUAUGCACGUGGUAGGAGAGCGUUCUAGCGGCGGUGAAGCAUGACCGAGAGGACAUGUGGAGCUUCUAGAAGUGAGAAUGCCGGUAUGAGUAACGAAAGACAGGUGAGAAUCCUGUCCGCCGCAAGACUAAGGUUUCCUGGGGCAGGCUCGUCCGCCCAGGGUAAGUCGGGACCUAAGGCGAGGCCGAGAGGCGUAGUCGAUGGACAACAGGUUGAAAUUCCUGUACUGCACCGAAUCGUUAUGAGCGAUGGAGGGACGCAGGAGGCUAGCAGCGCGUGGUGCUGGAUACCACGUUCAAGCGUCAAGUCUGAGAGCGAGUCAAAUGCUUGCUCUCAUAAGGACAAGGCGUGAUGAGGAGCGAAAUUAAAGUAGCGAAGGCUGCGACGUCACACUGCCGAGAAAAGCUUCUAGCCAGAGACGGUGCACCCGUACCGCAAACCGACACAGGUAGUCGAGGAGAGUAUCCUCAGGUGAGCGAGAGAACUCUCGUUAAGGAACUCGGCAAAAUGGCCCCGUAACUUCGGGAGAAGGGGCGCUGGUCGCAAGAUCAGCCGCAGUGAAAAGGCCCAAGCAACUGUUUAUCAAAAACACAGGCAUCUGCAAAAUCGUAAGAUGAAGUAUAGGUGCUGACACCUGCCCGGUGCUGGAAGGUUAAGAGGAGAGCUUAGCGCAAGCGAAGGUUUGAAUUGAAGCCCCAGUAAACGGCGGCCGUAACUAUAACGGUCCUAAGGUAGCGAAAUUCCUUGUCGGGUAAGUUCCGACCUGCACGAAAGGUGUAAUGAUUUGGGCACUGUCUCAACGAGAGACUCGGUGAAAUUAUAAUACCCGUGAAGAUGCGGGUUACCCGCGACAGGACGGAAAGACCCCAUGGAGCUUUACUGCAGUUUAAUAUUGGGUAUCUGUCAAGCAUGUACAGGAUAGGUAGGAGCCGGAGAAGAUAGGACGCCAGUCUUAUCUGAGGCGCUGUUGGGAUACUACCCUUGCUUGACGGAUGCUCUAACUCAGGCCUGUGAUCCAGGCCGAGGACAGUGUUUGACGGGCAGUUUGACUGGGGCGGUCGCCUCCUAAAGUGUAACGGAGGCGCCCAAAGGUUCCCUCAGAAUGGUUGGAAAUCAUUCGCAGAGUGUAAAGGUAAAAGGGAGCUUGACUGCGAGAGAGACAACUCGAGCAGGUACGAAAGUAGGGCUUAGUGAUCUGGUGGUACCGUAUGGAAGGGCCAUCACUCAACGGAUAAAAGCUACCCUGGGGAUAACAGGCUUAUCUCCCCCAAGAGUUCACAUCGACGGGGAGGUUUGGCACCUCGAUGUCGGCUCGUCGCAUCCUGGGGCUGAAGUCGGUCCCAAGGGUUGGGCUGUUCGCCCAUUAAAGCGGCACGCGAGCUGGGUUCAGAACGUCGUGAGACAGUUCGGUCCCUAUCCGUCGUGGGCGUAGGAAAUUUGAGAGGAGCUGUCCUUAGUACGAGAGGACCGGGAUGGACGCACCGCUGGUGUACCAGUUGUCUUGCCAAAGGCAUCGCUGGGUAGCUAUGUGCGGACGGGAUAAGCGCUGAAAGCAUCUAAGUGCGAAGCCCCCCUCAAGAUGAGAUUUCCCAUUUCUUCAAGAAAGUAAGACACCUCAGAGACGAUGAGGUAGAUAGGCCGGGAGUGGAAGAGCCGUGAGGCUUGGAGCGGACCGGUACUAAUCAGUCGAGGACUUGACCAAAA